rnacentral:rRNA from 1 species
UGGGGAAUAUUGGACAAUGGGCGCAAGCCUGAUCCAGCCAUACCGCGUGGGUGAAGAAGGCCUUCGGGUUGUAAAGCCCUUUUGUUGGGAAAGAAAAGCAACUGGUUAAUACCCGGUUGUUCUGACGGUACCCAAAGAAUAAGCACCGGCUAACUUCGUGCCAGCAGCCGCGGUAAUACGAAGGGUGCAAGCGUUACUCGGAAUUACUGGGCGUAAAGCGUGCGUAGGUGGUUGUUUAAGUCUGUUGUGAAAGCCCUGGGCUCAACCUGGGAACUGCAGUGGAAACUGGGCAACUAGAGUGUGGUAGAGGGUAGCGGAAUUCCCGGUGUAGCAGUGAAAUGCGUAGAGAUCGGGAGGAACAUCCAUGGCGAAGGCAGCUACCUGGACCAACACUGACACUGAGGCACGAAAGCGUGGGGAGCAAACA